rnacentral:lncRNA from 1 species
AGGCACUCCCAUUUUAUGCCCUAAUUUGGAUCCGUCUAGAAAGCUCGAGAAAUAGUAAAAAAAAAUGAAGAUUACUUUCUUUAUAUAUCCUCGUAUAAGUGUCAUAUUUGAAAAUAAAACAUUUCCGUCAAUAAAAUUUGCUCUCUCUUUCUUUUUUUUUCUUUUUUCCUUUUUUUCCUUGGGAGAGGGUGGUGUGAAAGAAUAAAUAAUUAAAGAUUGUGUGAUAAUGAAUUCGAACAUGAAAUUAUAUGCAUGUCAUAUUUUUUUCUUUUAGAUAUAUGUCAUGAUUCUAUAGAAUUCUAUCAUAAACAAAUCUUCCACGGUUCCACCAUUUUACCAUAGAGGUGGUUUCCUAUAAAACCGAUUUCAUGGUGAAACCAGUUUCACAAUGACACUACUUCAAAAUAUAAAUGACACUUUAAAAUGAUAAAAUAUCA